CACUCCUACGGGAGGCAGCAGUGGGGAAUAUUGCACAAUGGGCGCAAGCCUGAUGCAGCCAUGCCGCGUGUAUGAAGAAGGCCUUCGGGUUGUAAAGUACUUUCAGCGGGGAGGAAGGCGAUAAGGUUAAUAACCUUGUUGAUUGACGUUACCCGCAGAAGAAGCACCGGCUAACUCCGUGCCAGCAGCCGCGGUAAUACGGAGGGUGCAAGCGUUAAUCGGAAUUACUGGGCGUAAAGCGCACGCAGGCGGUCUGUCAAGUCGGAUGUGAAAUCCCCGGGCUCAACCUGGGAACUGCAUUCGAAACUGGCAGGCUAGAGUCUUGUAGAGGGGGGUAGAAUUCCAGGUGUAGCGGUGAAAUGCGUAGAGAUCUGGAGGAAUACCGGUGGCGAAGGCGGCCCCCUGGACAAAGACUGACGCUCAGGUGCGAAAGCGUGGGGAGCAAACAGGAUUAGAAACCCCAGUAGUCCCAUG
rnacentral:rRNA from 1 species